UAGAACCUGAAACCGUGUGCCUACAACCGGUCAAAGCCCCUUAUGAGGGUGAUGACGUGCUUUUUGUAGAACGAGCCAACGAGUUACGGUAUGUAGCAAGGUUAAGUACUUAAGGUACGGAGCCGAAGGGAAACCGAGUCUUAAUAGGGCGACUAGUUGCAUGCCGUAGACCCGAAACCGGUUGACCUAUCCAUGGCCAGGUUGAAGCGGGGGUAAAACCCCGUGGAGGACCGAACCACGUUGCUGUUGAAAAAGCAUGGGAUGAGCUGUGGAUAGCGGAGAAAUUCCAAUCGAACUCGGAGAUAGCUGGUUCUCCUCGAAAUAGCUUUAGGGCUAGCGUCGGAUAUGAGUAAUGGAGGUAGAGCACUGAAUGGGCUAGGGGGCAUAUCGCUUACCGAACCUUAUCAAACUCCGAAUGCCAUAUACUAUUAGUCCGGCAGUCAGACUACGAAUGAUAAGAUCCGUGGUCAAAAGGGAAAAAGCCCAGAUCGUCAGCUAAGGUCCCAAAGUGUAAGUUAAGUGGUAAAGGAUGUGGGAUUUCUAAGACAACUAGGAUGUUGGCUUAGAAGCAGCCACUCAUUUAAAGAGUGCGUAAUAGCUCACUAGUCGAGAGAUCCUGCGCCGAAAAUGUCCGGGGCUCAAACUUACCACCGAAGCUACGGGCUCAAGAUAACUUGAGCGGUAGAGGAGCGUCGUAAUCGGGCUGAAGUCGUACCGUAAGGAGCGGUGGACUGAUUACGAGUGAGAAUGUUGGCAUUAGUAGCGAGAUGUAAGUGAGAAUCUUACAGGCCGAAAAUCUAAGGUUUCCUGGGGAAGGCUCGUCCGCCCAGGGUUAGUCGGGACCUAAGCCGAGGCCGAAAGGCGUAGGUGAUGGACAAUUGGUUGAUAUUCCAAUACCACUAUUAUCGUUAUUAUCGAUGGUGUGACGGAGAAGGAUAGGAUGUGCUAGCGAAUGGAAAUGCUAGUCUAAGCAUUUAGGGAGUUAAGAUAGGCAAAUCCGUUUUAACAAUCCUGAGGUGUGAUGGGGAAGGCCUUUUAGGCUGAAGUAUCUGAUUCCAUGCUUCCAAGAAAAGCAUCUAGAGAGAGAAAUAGUGCCCGUACCGCAAACCGACACAGGUAGAUGAGGAGAGAAUCCUAAGGCCAUCGGAAGAAUUGCAGUUAAGGAACUAGGCAAAUUGACCCCGUAAGUUAGCGAGAAGGGGUGCCUGCGAGAGCAGGCCGCAGAGAAUAGGCCCAAGCAACUGUUUAGCAAAAACACAGGUCUCUGCUAAAGCGCAAGCUGAUGUAUAGGGGCUGACGCCUGCCCGGUGCUGGAAGGUUAAGGGGAACACUUAGCGCAAGCGAAGGUGUGAACUUAAGCCCCAGUAAACGGCGG
rnacentral:rRNA from 1 species